UUUCCGGUCGGGGCCGCAGCCGCUUCCGGAGCCGCGGGCGAGGUGCGUUCCCCAGCCUGGUUUGCUCUGGGCUCUGACCCGCCGCCGCGAAUCUCCGCUCGUAACUCCGGGCCUGAACCUGGAGGAGGGAGGAUUUCCUCUGUGCAGCUUUCGAGCGGUAGACUCACCCUGCCAGGCAGACCUAGAUUGGCAUAACCAGAGAUCAGUUCCAGUUGUGAUGCAGUGGGUGUCUACACACUUCUGAUGACACCUUUAUUUUAAAAGCUGAUGUUCCAAGUAGAGUCGGGGUUUCACCGUGUUAGCCAGGAUGGUCUCGAUCUCCUGACCUCGUGAUCCGCCCACCUCCGCCUCUCCAAGUGCUGGGAUUACAGGCAUGAGCCACCGCGCCCGGCCCUUGUAUUUUUAAACUUUGACUUUAUGGAGACGAACACCAUCGUUUGCUGAACACUUGAAACAUGAUGAAAGAGCCACAGAGUUGGCAGAACUGUUUGAAAAUGCUGUGCAAGCGGUCUUCUCUGUCUUCUUUAUGGCCAGUAAAAUUCUCCAGAAGAGAUUUAUGGCAGCCUCACUCCCAGUAGUUUCUGCAUUUAGUGAGAUAAGGAAUGGAUUUUCUUCUGUGUAUUGCUGACACGAACAGGAGACGGAAAUACUGAGUAGAAGAGGGCGGUUCCCUGGCUAAGGCCCCACCCUCAAGCCUGGAUACCCGCGGCCCUAAAUGAGAAGAGGCGUUUCUGUUUGGGGCCCAAAAAGUUGCUUUUUGA
rnacentral:lncRNA from 1 species